rnacentral:lncRNA from 1 species
CCGCCAGCUCCCUUUCGGGUCAACUCGCGAGAGGCGAGCUGGAGCCUCCGGGCGCCAGGUCGGGGUCGCAGGCUGGCCGGCUCAGCUGACUGGGAUUCGGCGCCUUCGGCCAAGCACACGAGCGCUCCGCGGGCCGCAGCUGGGGGCGGGCCAUGGCAGGCCAAUCGCGGGCCGAGGCCGCUGACAACGGCUGCAGGGCUGACCGGCGGGUCCUGAAGUCGGGCCAAGGGAAAAGGAAAUGCCCGGGGCGGAACAGAGCCAGGCGGGCUGCGAGCUGUCCGCUGUUUUUGUCCUCCUUGCCCUUCCCGACCUCCUCCUGCUGCUUUGUUGGAUUCUUUGCCUGGAGGUGCAGAAUCAUUCAAGCACCCCUGUGACCCGAAAGACACCAAAUGAAGUCUCUCUCUUCCCAACCUUCUGGGGCACAGCAGCAGCCUCGACCUUUCCUGGAACCAGCCAUCCAUAAUGCAGUUUAUGGCCGACACAAGUUCCUCAGCUUUGCCUCCCAGCCUGGACCUCAGAAGAAGAAGCAACUGGCUGGAGUCAGGCCUUCUGCACUCAUGCCCCAGCUGCCCAGCUUUCUUUGAGGAGGGCAGGAUCUAUUCCUCCAGGAACAUCCUCCGAGGGCUGCACUUCCUGGGGCUCCAGCUGUUCCAGCUGCUGCGGGGGCCCAGACAGGUCCAAAUCAGUGCCUGGGGUGUGAACUUGCUCUCAGAUGGAUCCCUGGAGGAGUCUGGCACCUGGGAGAUUAGAGUAAUGAUGGAGCAGCUGUCUGAUCUUUCUGGGCAACUGUCUGCACUGGAAGAGCAAAGUGAGAGUUGGCACAAGAAAGAGCUGUUCCUUUACUCCAUGUUGGCCUCUGCCUGGCUCUUUAACAUAUGGCUGUGGCUCAGGAGAUGACUUGCCCACGACUUGCCCACGACAGCCACAAGAGAAAAAUGAUGUGGUUAGCUGUAAGACUUGCAACCAGCCAAGGGAGGUGGGGGUGGGGGGAAACGGGACACUGAGUGUUCCGGGUCUCUAGUGGCCAGAAGGGUAGGAGGGGAGAGGAAAGGCUGCCCUUCCAGCCUUCAGUUUCUUUUUUUAAUGUUCCUGUUGUAAGCUAUUGCCAGGUUUUAUCUUUAUUAUUAUUGUUAUUCCCUGCAAUGCCCCUCUUGGGUUGUCAAGGGAGAAAACGUCUCCUUUCCCAUUUUCAUAGUCUUUCCUGGGGGAUGGGGUGAGUGUGGAAGUGGCAUUGAGUUGCCUCUCUUCCACUCUUCUCCAGUCCAAGUCAGAUGAUAAUAUGGAGGUGCUGUGCAUUUAAGAGCAUGAUAACAUUGGGAUUCUGAUUUUUAGAGGGCUCUGCGCAUAUCCCUGCCAGCCUCUUUUCACAUUCUCCCCAUUUUUGUUUCUUGUGGACAUAGUAGAAAGUAAUGAAGAUCAUCUUGAUAGAUUCCAGUAUCAUGGCUGGGAAGGGUGAACUAAACCUUAAGCCCACAGCAGACAGAAAAUAUGCAGGAGGGGCUCAGACAGAAACCUCCUUGGGUUACAGGAACAUAAGAAGGCCGAGGAAGACUGUGGUUAUAGUCACUCUCAAUAAAAAAAAUAGUUUUAGGCUUACUGUGGAGCUGAUUUCUGGAUCUGCUCUACCUGGUGGGGCUGCAGCAUGGUUUCAGGGUCUAAUUUGUAUAUAAUUUUGGGGAACUUUUUAUUCAUGAUAGCUGCAGCAAGAUUAUUGUAUGUGCAAAGAUGAGAAGAUUCGGCACUGCCCAUCACGGAGGAAUGGUUGGUGAAGAUGAUGGAAUUUGCUGCAAUGGCUAAAUUUACUUCUUUGAUCAGAGAAAAAAAAACAAUAUCUACAUUUAUUACUGACUGGAAACUUUUUAUAGACAUUUUGUGAGAAACAGAAAAAAAUGAACUCAUGCUAUAUGGUUUGGAUGAUUAGACUGAAUAGACUGUAGAAAGAAGAUGUUGUAACCAUAGAGUAAAAUUUCUAAUUGUACUUAUAGCUG